rnacentral:misc_RNA from 1 species
UACUUGCCGGAUGUUGGAUGACCGAUUUGGUGAAGAUCUCCGUAAUUCUCGGGACUAUUUUCAUUUUUCCCGUCUCCUGGUCGAACCUCUGAUCCCGAAGCAUCCUCCUCAUCCAGAAUCGCCCAUCCAUAAGGGCGUCUUCCUCAUAACCCAGACCACCGCGGCCCACCUUCUGGAUAGCCGGUAUGGGUUCCACGAUUCCUUGCAGUGUGGUGCCCAAGCCUUUCCCCUCUUGA